GCACAUAUUCAAAACAACUGCCAGUUUCAAGUUUAGUUACAUUUAUUUGAUAACAGCACACAAUACAAAUGUAACAUAGUCAAGUUCUGAUCAGAAUUCAGUGUCAAUUUCUUUAUAAUUGAAAAGGCUCUCCCACAGUAGGAAUUGAUAUUUGACUGAAUUAGCUUCAUCAAGAUUUGAAAGAAUGUCAUAAUGUUUUUUUUUUUGGGCAAUGUAAAAUGUCAUCUAUUAUCUCUGCCAUUGCUCCCAUUGCUAUUGCCUGGUUAAAACUGGGUAGUUCAUCAGAAGAAAGCUGGUACUAUGAGAGCUGAUCCAACAGUUCUGUGAUAUUUUUAUCCCCAUGGCCUGUAGAAAUCUGUUGCCGUGUUGGCUAGAUUUGAAACUGAAAUUGAAAAAGAAAAAUGUUUUAUAAAUUUGAUUUCCAUUAGAUAAACAUGUUAAAUGCUUAUUCAAAUAGCUACAUUGUAUUUCUCCUCUCACAUGUAUUGUUUUUUUUAUCAUUGCAACAUAGAAUGCACAAAUUAUGCGUUA
rnacentral:lncRNA from 1 species